rnacentral:rRNA from 3 species
UGUUUCGGCUAGGGGGCCAUCCCGGCUUACCAACCCGAUGCAAACUGCGAAUACCGGAGAAUGUUAUCACGGGAGACACACGGCGGGUGCUAACGUCCGUCGUGAAGAGGGAAACAACCCAGACCGCCAGCUAAGGUCCCAAAGUCAUGGUUAAGUGGGAAACGAUGUGGGAAGGCCCAGACAGCCAGGAUGUUGGCUUAGAAGCAGCCAUCAUUUAAAGAAAGCGUAAUAGCUCACUGGUCGAGUCGGCCUGCGCGGAAGAUGUAACGGGGCUAAACCAUGCACCGAAGCUGCGGCAGCGACGCUGAUGCGUUGUUGGGUAGGGGAGCGUUCUGUAAGCCUGCGAAGGUGGCCUGUGAGGGUUGCUGGAGGUAUCAGAAGUGCGAAUGCUGACAUAAGUAACGAUAAAGCGGGUGAAAAGCCCGCUCGCCGGAAGACCAAGGGUUCCUGUCCAACGUUAAUCGGGGCAGGGUGAGUCGACCCCUAAGGCGAGGCCGAAAGGCGUAGUCGAUGGGAAACGGGUUAAUAUUCCCGUACUUGGUGUUACUGCGAAGGGGGGACGGAGAAGGCUAUGUUGGCCGGGCGACGGUUGUCCCGGUUUAAGCGUGUAGGUGUGUGUUCCAGGUAAAUCCGGUU